rnacentral:rRNA from 1 species
UACGGGGGGGGGCAAGCGUUGUUCGGAAUUACUGGGCGUAAAGGGCUCGUAGGCGGCCAACUAAGUCAGACGUGAAAUCCCUCGGCUUAACCGGGGGAACUGCAUCUGAUACUGGAUGGCUUGAGAUUGGGAGAGGGAUGCGGAAUUCCAGGUGUAGCGGUGAAAUGCGUAGAUAUCUGGAGGAAUACCAGUGGCGAAGGCGGCAUCCUGGACCGGCAUUGACGCUGAGGAGCGAAAGCCAGGGGAGCAAAGCGGG